rnacentral:lncRNA from 1 species
UAUAUUUUAAUAUAUUUCAAUUUGAGUUGAGAUAGAAUACUAUCGAUAGUAAACGAGUCGUUUUACUACCGAUUUGUUUUCGAUGAUAGAGCUUCCAAAUUGACGAUCGGCUCCGUUAAAUAUGAUCUAAACCAUUUAAACUAUCUAGAAAUCAAAUUUCACGCACUUUCGAUAUUGUUCUUUUAUCCAUCAAAUGAACAGAAAAAUGAAUGACUGAAAAUGAAUAUUCUUUAAAAAAUGAUGAUAGGAGUCUUGUAAUCAAGAUCAAGAGUAUAGAUCUUGUUUUAAAUAGUUUAAAGAAUUUUCUAAUAAAAAUUCAAUUGAUUUGAAUAUCCUUAUGCCGUUAAACGAGAAAACGUCUCUUAUCGACCAUUAAAAUUACAAAUUUUGAAACCCUUUGAUCAUUAGGCAAAUGAUGUCGGAAAGAUUUGAAAUUUGAUUUCUAAACACUUCAAGUGGUAUAGAUCAUGUUCAACGAAGCCGAUCGUCAAUUUGGAAGCUCUAUCAUCGAAAACAAAUAGGUAGUAAAACGGCUCGUUUACUACUGAUAGCAUUCUAACAAAACUCUUUUAAUUUAGAGUAAACUUCAAUGAUUUAGAUCAUUUUCACUUUCCUACCAUCUGAUUCAAAAAAUUACAAUUAACUCUUCUGUGAUUUUAUUUCCAUUUUUAUCUAAAAAAAUUUACUAUCAAAUA